UACGUAGGGGGCAAGCGUUAUCCGGAUUUACUGGGUGUAAAGGGAGCGUAGACGGCUGGCCAAGUCUGAAGUGAAAGCCCGGGGCUUAACCCCGGAACGGCUUUGGAAACUGGCCGGCUGGAGUGCUGGAGAGGCAGGCGGAAUUCCUGGUGUAGCGGUGAAAUGCAUAGAUAUCGCGCAGAACUCCGAUUGCGAAGGCAGCAUGCCGGCUCCACACUGACGCUGAGGCACGAAAGCAUGGGUAGCGAACAGG
rnacentral:rRNA from 1 species